rnacentral:rRNA from 1 species
GACAGAGGCCUCAAGCGUUAGGCGGAAUCACUGGGCUUAAAGCGUGUGUAGGCGGAUCGUUAAGUACCUUGUGAAAUCCCACGGCUCAACCGUGGAACUGCUGGGCAUACUGCGGGUCUUGGGCCAACUAGGGGCAGCCGGAACAAGCGGUGGAGCGGUGAAAUGCGUAGAUAUCGCUUGGAACGCCGAAGGUGAAAACAGGCUGCUGGGGUUGCGCCGACGCUGAGACACGAAAGCCAGGGGAGCAAACGGG